UGGGCCCUCUAGAUGCAUGCUCGAGCGGCCGCCAGUGUGAUGGAUAUCUGCNGAAUUCGCCCUUAGAGUUUGAUCCUGGCUCAGGAUGAACGCUGGCGGCGUGCCUAAUACAUGCAAGUCGAACGAAACUUCUUUAUCACCGAGUGCUUGCACUCACCGAUAAAGAGUUGAGUGGCGAACGGGUGAGUAACACGUGGGCAACCUGCCCAAAAGAGGGGGAUAACACUUGGAAACAGGUGCUAAUACCGCAUAACCAUAGUUACCGCAUGGUAACUAUGUAAAAGGUGGCUAUGCUACCGCUUUUGGAUGGGCCCGCGGCGCAUUAGCUAGUUGGUGGGGUAAAGGCUUACCAAGGCAAUGAUGCGUAGUCGAACUGAGAGGUUGAUCGGCCACAUUGGGACUGAGACACGGCCCAAACUCCUACGGGAGGCAGCAGUAGGGAAUCUUCCACAAUGGGCGAAAGCCUGAUGGAGCAACGCCGCGUGGGUGAAGAAGGUCUUCGGAUCGUAAAACCCUGUUGUUAGAGAAGAAAGUGCGUGAGAGUAACUGUUCACGUUUCGACGGUAUCUAACCAGAAAGCCACGGCUAACUACGUGCCAGCAGCCGCGGUAAUACGUAGGUGGCAAGCGUUAUCCGGAUUUAUUGGGCGUAAAGGGAACGCAGGCGGUCUUUUAAGUCUGAUGUGAAAGCCUUCGGCUUAACCGGAGUAGUGCAUUGGAAACUGGGAGACUUGAGUGCAGAAGAGGAGAGUGGAACUCCAUGUGUAGCGGUGAAAUGCGUAGAUAUAUGGAAGAACACCAGUGGCGAAAGCGGCUCUCUGGUCUGUAACUGACGCUGAGGUUCGAAAGCGUGGGUAGCAAACAGGAUUAGAUACCCUGGUAGUCCACGCCGUAAACGAUGAAUGCUAAGUGUUGGAGGGUUUCCGCCCUUCA
rnacentral:rRNA from 1 species